UAGCCGUAAACGAUACUCGCUAGGUGUCGGCCACGGUGCGACCGUUGUCGGUGCCGUAGGGAAGCCGUGAAGCGAGCCACCUGGGAAGUACGGCCGCAAGGCUGAAACCUAAAGGAAUUGGCGGGGGAGCACCACAACGGGUGGAGCUUGCGGUUUAAUUGGAUUCAACGCCGGAAAUCUUACCGGGACCGACAGCAACAUGAAGGCCAGGCUGAAGACUUUGCCGGAUUAGCUGAGAGGUGGUGCAUGGCGUAGUCGUGU
rnacentral:rRNA from 1 species